CCUACGGGGGGCAGCAGUGAGGAAUAUUGGUCAAUGGACGGAAGUCUGAACCAGCCAUGCCGCGUGCAGGAAGACGGCUCUAUGAGUUGUAAACUGCUUUUGUACAAGGGUAAACCCGAAUACGUGUAUUCAGCUGAAAGUACUUUACGAAUAAGCAUCGGCUAACUCCGUGCCAGCAGCCGCGGUAAUACGGAGGAUCCAAGCGUUAUCCGGAUUUAUUGGGUUUAAAGGGUGCGUAGGCGGAUUGAUAAGUUAGAGGUGAAAUGUCCGAGCUUAACUCGGGAACUGCCUUUAAUACUGUUGAUCUCGAGAGUAGGUGCGGUAGGCGGAAUGUGUGGUGUAGCGGUGAAAUGCUUAGAGAUCGUACAGAACUCCGAUUGCGAAGGCAGCUUGCCAAUCUAUAUCUGACGUUGAGGCACGAAAGCGUGGGGAGCAAACAGGAUUAGAUACCCGAGUAGUC
rnacentral:rRNA from 1 species